AUACGUAGGGGGCGAGCGUUGUCCGGAAUUACUGGGCGUAAAGGGUGCGUAGGUGGCACUUUAAGUUGGAUGUGAAAUCCCCGUGCUUAACAUGGGAGCUGCAUCCAAUACUGGAGAGCUAGAGUGCAGGAGAGGUAAGCGGAAUUCCUAGUGUAGCGGUGAAAUGCGUAUAUAUUAGGAGGAACACCAGUGGCGAAGGCGGCUUACUGGACUGUAACUGACACUGAGGCACGAAAGCGUGGGGAGCAAACAGGAUUAGAUACCCUGGUAGUCCACGCUGUAAACGAUGAAUUCUAGGUGUAGUUGGUAUCAACUCCCUCUGUGCCGCAGCAAACGCAAUAAGUAUGCCGCCUGGGGAGUACGGCCGCAAGGUUGAAACUCAAAUGAAUUAACGGGG
rnacentral:rRNA from 1 species